UACAGAGGGUGCGAGCGUUAAUCGGAAUUACUGGGCGUAAAGCGUGCGCAGGCGGCUAUGCAAGACAGAUGUGAAAUCCCCGGGCUCAACCUGGGAACUGCAUUUGUGACUGCACGGCUGGAGUGCGGCAGAGGGGGAUGGAAUUCCGCGUGUAGCAGUGAAAUGCGUAGAUAUGCGGAGGAACACCGAUGGCGAAGGCAAUCCCCUGGGCCUGCACUGACGCUCAUGCACGAAAGCGUGGGGAGCAAACAGG
rnacentral:rRNA from 1 species